GUACACGCUGUGACUAGCAUAUCAAUAAGCGGAGGAAAAGAAACUAACAAGGAUUCCCCUAGUAACGGCGAGUGAAGCGGGAAGAGCUCAAAUUUGAAAUCUUAAAGGUUUUCCCUUGACGAAUUGUAGUUUAAAGAAGUGUUUUCUGUUGAGGUUUUGGUAAAAGUUCUUUGGAAUAGGACAUCAUAGAGGGUGAGAAUCCCGUAUUUGACCUUUACUUUCAACUUUGUGAUACACUUUCAAAGAGUCGGAUUGUUUGGGAAUGCAGUCCAAAAUGGGUGGUAAAUUUCAUCUAAAGCUAAAUAUUGGCGAGAGACCGAUAGCGAACAAGUACCGUGAGGGAAAGAUGAAAAGAACUUUGAAAAGAGAGUUAAACAGUACGUGAAAUUGUCAAAAGGGAAGCGUUUGACACCAGUGUUGUUUUUCUGAAAAUCAAUUAAAGAACUGUUUAUGCUAAGCUGUUUAGACUUUAUCAGCUAUCUGUUUAGUUUUGAGCUUUUCUUUAAUGCACUUUUCAGUUAACAAAUCAACAUCAAUUUCUUUUGCUGUAAAAAAGCUUGAGGAAGGUGGCUUGAGAUUCGUCUUAAGUGUUUAUAGCCUCUUGCCUAUGCAGUCGGAGAGAUUGAGGUCUGCAGCGUAGAUCCUUCGGGGCUAAAUGCAUUUGUGCUAAGUUAUAGCAUUUUAUAGACAACUUGUUGACUAUGAUUUGUCUUGUAGCUUACUCGCUUAUGUUAUUUUACCUACGCUUAGGAUGUUGAACUACUGAGACAUAGA
rnacentral:rRNA from 1 species